rnacentral:rRNA from 1 species
CAGCAGCCGCGGGAAUACGAAGGGGGCUAGCGUUGUUCGGAUUUACUGGGCGUAAAGCGCACGUAGGCGGACUUUUAAGUCAGAGGUGAAAUCCUGGAGCUCAACUCCAGAACUGCCUUUGAUACUGAAAGUCUUGAGUAUGGGAGAGGUGAGUGGAACUGCGAGUGUAGAGGUGAAAUUCGUAGAUAUUCGCAAGAACACCAGUGGCGAAGGCGGCUCACUGGCCCAUAACUGACGCUGAGGCACGAAAGCGUGGGGAGCAAACAGGAUUAGAUACCCCGGUAGUCCCUGUCUCUUAUAC